GCCCCUGUGGCGGAAUUGGUAGACGCGGCAGACUCAAAAUCUGUUGUCUUUGACGUGGGAGUUCGAGUCUCCCCGGGGGCA
rnacentral:tRNA from 1 species